UUAUACCAGUGUCCUCAGUGCCAUUUUAUAAUUAUUUUUUUCAAGUAGUCCUAGUUUAAAUUCUUCUAUAUACUUUUCGAUUUUCUAUCCUUCUUUCCCUUUGUCGGCUUUUCAUCCUUCCUGACUAUCCCAAAGAUUCUUCGGUUGCAGUUGGAGUUUGGAAGUGUUGGAUUUGCAAGAUUCCACUUUACUAACGUUUGGUGUCCUUAUCAUGCCGAACGAUAAUGUUUGUUUCUAACAGUAAUUUCCUAAAGAUACAGG